AACGCACCUUGCGCUCCUUGGUAUUCCGAGGAGCAUGCCUGUUUGAGUGUCAUGAAAUUCUCAACCUUUCUGGCUUUGAUACCAAAGCUGGCAAAGGCUUGGAUUGUGGAAGUUGCUGGUCUCUCACGAGUUGGCUCUUCUUAAAUGCAUUAGCAAGAUCAUUGCUGGAUCAUCUUUGAUAUGAUAAUUAUCUAUGUCACUGAGGACCGGCUCUGAAAGGUUUUGCUUCUAACCGUCUCGUCUUGAGACAAUGAUUGACAACUUUGACCUCAAAUCAGGUAGGACUACCCGCUGAACUUAA
rnacentral:misc_RNA from 1 species